rnacentral:rRNA from 1 species
AACGAACGCUGGCGGCAGGCUUAACACAUGCAAGUCGAACGGGUGUAGCAAUACAUCAGUGGCAGACGGGUGAGUAACACGUGGGAACCUUCCUCGUUGUACGGAACAACUCAGGGAAACUUGAGCUAAUACCGUAUACGUCCGAGAGGAGAAAGAUUUAUCGCAAUGAGACGGGCCCGCAUCGGAUUAGCUAGUUGGUGGGGUAACGGCCUACCAAGGCGACGAUCCGUAGCUGAUCUGAGAGGAUGAUCAGCCACACUGGGACUGAGACACGGCCCAGACUCCUACGGGAGGCAGCAGUGGGGAAUCUUGGACAAUGGGCGCAAGCCUGAUCCAGCCAUGCCGCGUGAGUGAAGAAGGCCUUAGGGUUGUAAAGCUCUUUUGGCAGGGACGAUAAUGACGGUACCUGCAGAAUAAGCCCCGGCAAACUUCGUGCCAGCCGCCGCCGUAA